rnacentral:rRNA from 1 species
CUGUCCGACUACCGAUCGAUUAGCCUGAUUCAUCUGGUUGCCAAGCUCGUAGCAAAAGUUCUCGCCCUGAGGCUCGCCCCGCGGCUUGGGGAGCUUGUCUCGGUCAACCAGAGUGCUUUCAUCGCUGGGCGCCGCAUCCAUGACAAUUUUAUGCUGGUUCAGCACACAACGAGCCACCUUCACCAGGCCGGUGCCCACCGGGUCCUCCUCAAGCUCGAUAUCUCUAGGGCGUUUGACUCCGUCUCCUGGCCCUUCUUGCUUGAGAUCCUUCGUGCGGCUUCGGCCGAAGAUGGUGCGAGUGGGUGA